CUCCCUCUCACAUUUCAGACGCGAUUUGUAUCCUCUCUCCCCCUCACUUUUCUCUCUCCUCACUUUCUCUCACCAAAUCGCGUCCCCGUCGCCGUCGUUUCUAGGGUUACGAUUCCUCGCCGUCGUCCCUCACCAAAUCGCGUCCCAAAGCAGCGUUAAGGGUCUAAGCCUGACUGUGAUUAAGGCUGGGUGCCAUGGUCUGCUUAAAGAGGGAGCUUCUGUGACAAUGACCGUGUUUUGAAGACUGUGAAAGGGUAAUGGAUCCUUCUCUCUUUAAGGCUACAUAUCUCUAGAACAAAUGGAAAGACUCUGGCCAGUAGCUUAAUAUCCACUGCACCACCAAUCAUGAAGAAAGGCUUAGCUGAAAGACUUUUCGAUCUGAGUUGUCAUCUUGAUUAGAUUCAUGGUAUUUUCAUCUCUUUCUCUAUGUCCUUUUGGCAAUGGUCUUUCUAGCUUGGAUUUCUUGAUAACAUGAUUUCCCUUUUUUAUGUAGAUUUUAUGUUAAAUUGUCUUUGCAUUUCUUGGUUGUUAAAAGUUCUGUAUUGUCUUUCAACAAUCUAAUUAAAUUGUCAUACCAGGUGACUUGAUUUUAAGCUCUCUUAUGUUCAUUUCUCAUCGUGGCAUGGAGCUUUGCAGUCUCAUUUAAAAAACUGCUUUGUGGGUGUUUUUGCAUCUGUAUGCAUAUAUCCGUUUUUAAUGGAGAGACUUCACCCUUUCCUAUUAUCAGCUGGCUUAUUUAUAACUAUGUAGUUUCUGUUUUUGAAUUUUUCUCUAUUUAAAAACAGAAACUACAUAGUUAUAAAUAACUUCACUUUUACAUCAGAAAUUCAGAAUCCUUAAGCAGCUCUUAGCCUCUCUUUCUGACUGUCCCGGUGUUUUUUCUUUUUUCGUCAUUGAUACUUCGUAUUAGGUUCAACAUUAAUGUAUCUUGCUAUAUGGUGUCUUCCUUCUGAUUGUGACAGUCUAAACCAACAGUAUAGUAUGAGCUUAAAUAGCUACAAUUCUGAUGCGUGUGAACCAACGUAUAGAAUCGGAGAUGCAUUAUUCAAUUAAUAACAAAACAAAAUCAAAAACAGUUUUAAGUUUUACUAAAACUAGAGACUAAAAACUGGUAAUAAUACCAAACACACCCUAAAAGAAUAAUUUCCAUUCAUUACGGAGUGAAAUUCAUAGUCAAUAAUCAAUUAAUUACAGAGUGAUAUUUAUACAGCAAUCCUAAAAGUCACAAACUUCUGAUCAUCUUUACAUCACAAACUUUCAGAUCGUACUAGCUACAAUCUUAAUAGAAAUCCCAGAUUCAUAAGUUUGUGUUAGUUUGAUACUUGGGGGAUUUAAGGUAUUAGACUUUCAAAAAAAUAAAAAAUGGCAUAAGCAAACAGCAGGAAUGAGAUUUUCUUAUUCCAACCUGAUUCAGAUAUUUGCUAACCAAAUAGGCUUAUUCGUAAAGUAAACUCAUGUCUCAAGGCAUGGAUUGGAUUUCUAAAUCCUAAAUUUGAUACCAAGCCAGCGAGUCCUCACAAAUAACUUUAAUCACAUCAUAUCAAAUUUUGUAAGGAAAUUUAGACAACUGACUUAAGUUCCUCCGAUAAAAUCUUUGAUAUUCCAGCUAGGAGAAACAACCUCAUUUGUAGAUUCUAUAAGAUAAAAGCUUUUGCUUAGUACUUUAUAUUGUCCCUAUCAGAAAUGGUGAGCAAGUAGCAUUUAAUCAACAGUCACUGAUAGAAUGCUGAAACUCAUCCCAUUCAUAUAGGGAGUUCGAAAGCUCCUGAAACUGGUCGUUCCAAAACUCAAUUUGUUAGCGCCAUUAUCCAAGUGCAGGGCAUUGCUAUACAGGCAUACAAACAUGGUCCAGGCACCUAGCUAACAUAUCAGUAGAAUACUAUCACUAUGUUUCUUGACAUCCAUAUUCGAGUCUGCAAGUUGUAUCAGAAGGAUUGCCUGAUGUGGAUUGCGAUCUAUAAUUGAUUGCUCUUUGAAUUUCAGCUUCCCACUGCCUUUGAUGCGCAUGGUGCCUAAUAAUUUCAGCUUGCAGGAAUAAUACAUUUAGCAUUUGAACACCUUUAGUAUGGCUAUAUAUUCAUGUAAAUAAUGAUGAACACCUUUAGCAUCAUUAUUUAGCAGUUGAAAAUUUGAAGGCCAACUUGAUGAUGUAGGCAAGGAAAAGCUUAUCUGCUUAGGAUUUAAAGCAAACUUGCAGGAAACUUUGUUGCUGUUCUGUUUAGAACUUGAUGUUUGUUUGCAAAAAAGGGAUAACUGGUCAUGGCAGAAGCUGGGGAUCCGGGAGCCAAACUGUUUGUUGGGAAAGUGAGGAGCAGUUUCAUAUUGGCCAUAUGUCCAUGCUUCGGAAAGCAGUGAUGCUCUAGACUGAUUUGGUGUGUUAUUGGAGUUCGUGUUUAUUUUACAGGAUGCAUGUACAUAGCACCAGUAAAAAAUCCAGCCAAACUACAAAAAAAAAAGACCACCUGCAGACAGAGACAGACAGCAACAGCAACAGCAACAGAGAAUAGAGAACGGCAACUGAGUGAUUUUUCAAGGGAUUUUGACUUUUCAGUAGUACUGUAUGGACCUUUACUUUAUUUAAACGGAACAAUUGUUUUGUUUUUCUUAGUUUGAUUACGAAUUAAUUAUGAAUAUUGAAUUAUUAGUGUUAUGGAAUUAACUAUUUAGAUCCCGUGAAAAUGCACACGGUGUAAAAUUUUUCUUUAGAUGAACUUUGUGAACAAAUUUUGUGGCAUGUUAUUUUUGGUGAUUAGUUGCAAUAAAAUAAUUUAAAGUUCUGAAA